rnacentral:rRNA from 1 species
GGCAUGGUUUAGGCAUGCAAGUCGAACGUGAAACUCCGAAUUGAUCCUUCGGGUGAUUUUUGGAACGGAAAGUGGCGAAAGGGUGAGUAAUGCAUGGGUAAUUUACCUUUAAGUGGGGAAUAACUUCGUGAAAACGGAGCUAAUACCGCAUGAGACCACAGUUACAUAAGUAACAGAGGUCAAAGAGGGCCUCUAUUUAUAAGCUCUCGCUUAGAGAUAAGCCCAUGUCCUAUUAGCUUGUUGGUGGGGUAAUGGCCUACCAAGGCUUUGAUGGGUAGCCGGCCUGAGAGGGUGUCCGGCCACACUGGGACUGAGACACUGCCCAGACUCCUACGGGAGGCUGCAGUCGAGAAUCUUUCGCAAUGGACGAAAGUCUGACGAAGCGAUGCCGCGUGAGCGAUGAAGGCUUUCGAGUCGUAAAGCUCUGUCACAAGGGACGAAAUAUAUAAAAAUUAAUACUUUUUAUAUUUGACGGUACCUUGAAAGGAAGCCCCGGCUAACUCCGUGCCAGCAGCCGCGGUAAUACGGAGGGGGCAGGCGUUGUUCGGAUUUACUGGGCGUAAAGGGCGUGUAGGUGGUUGAUUAAGUUGGAUGUGAAAUCCCUCAGCUCAACUGAGGAACUGCAUUCAAAACUGACUGACUAGAGUACGAACGAGGAAAGUGGAAUUCCUGGUGUAGCGGUGAAAUGUGUAGAUAUCAGGAGGAACACCGGUGGCGAAAGCGGCUUUCUAGUUCGAUACUGACACUGAGGCGCGAAAGCUAGGGGAGCAAACAGGAUUAGAUACCCUGGUAGUCCUAGCCGUAAACGAUGAAUACUAGGUGUGGGGAGGUAUACUCCUCGUGCCACAGCUAACGCAUUAAGUAUUCCGCCUGGGGAGUACGACCGCAAGGUUGAAACUCAAAGGAAUUGACGGGGACCCGCACAAGCGGUGGAGCAUGUGGUUUAAUUCGAAGCAACGCGAAGAACCUUACCAGGGCUUGACAUGUUUCUGACCGCCUGCGAAAGCAGGUUUUUCCCUUCGGGGACAGAUUCACAGGUGUUGCAUGGCUGUCGUCAGCUCGUGUCGUGAGAUGUUGGGUUAAGUCCCGCUACGAGCGCAACCCUCAUCCCUAGUUACCAGCAAGUUAAGUUGGGUACUCUAUGGAGACUGCCAGUGAUAAACUGGAGGAAGGUGAGGAUGACGUCAAGUCGUCAUGGCCCUUACGCCCUGGGCUACACACGUGCUACAAUGGCCGGUACAAAGGGACGCCAAACCGCGAGGUGGAGCAAAUCUCAAAAAGCCGGCCCUAGUUCGGAUUGGAGUCUGCAAUUCGACUCCAUGAAGUCGGAAUCGCUAGUAAUUGCAAAUCAGCUACGCUGCAGUGAAUACGUUCCCGGGUCUUGUACACACCGCCCGUCAAGCCAUCCGAGUCGAAUGCACCCGAAGUCAUUGGCUUAACCUCUUUUGAGGAGAGAAAUGCCGAAGGUGUGUUUGGU